rnacentral:rRNA from 1 species
UUUUCUGCCCGGUGUAAACAUAAACGGCCGCGGUACUCUGACCGUGCAAAGGUAGCAUAAUCAUUUGCCCUUUAAUUGGGGGCUGGAAUGAAAGAAAGAUUUGAGAGCUUAGCUGUCUCUCCUUUUUAUUUGGAAUUUGCUGUCUUUGUGAAGAAGCAAAGGUUGUGAAGAAAGACAAGAAGACCCUAUUAAGCUUAAUCCUUUUUUUUUACUCUUUCUUUUAAGUAUCUUAGGGUUGUGAAUAAUAGGAUUUGGUUGGGGUGACCGGAAAGGAUUUGUAUCCUCUCUUUCUCUUUUUACUUUUAGUUUUAUAAUGAACCAGGAUUUCCUGGCUUUUAGAACUAGUUACUAUAGGGAUAACAGCGUAAUUUUUUCGGAAAGUUCUUAUUUAUGAAAAAGUUUGCGACCUCGAUGUUGCCUUGUCGUUUCCUCUUUUAGGUGUAGUCGCUGGAAGGGUUAGUCUGUUCGACUAUUAAAACGGU